rnacentral:rRNA from 1 species
CCUACGGGUGGCAGCAGUGAGGAAUAUUGGUCAAUGGGCGAGAGCCUGAACCAGCCAAGUCGCGUGAAGGAUGAAGGAUCUAUGGUUUGUAAACUUCUUUUAUAUGGGAAUAAAGUGAGGAACGUGUUCCUUUUUGUAUGUACCAUAUGAAUAAGCAUCGGCUAACUCCGUGCCAGCAGCCGCGGUAAUACGGAGGAUGCGAGCGUUAUCCGGAUUUAUUGGGUUUAAAGGGUGCGUAGGUGGUUAAUUAAGUCAGCGGUGAAAGUUUGUGGCUCAACCAUAAAAUUGCAAUUGAUACUGGCAGCCGUGAGUACAGUUGAGGUAGGCGGAAUUCGUGGUGUAGCGGUGAAAUGCUUAGAUAUCACGAAGAACUUCGAUUGCGAAGGCAGCCUACUAAACUGCCACUGACAUUGAUGCUCGAAAGCGUGGGGAGCAAACAGGAUUAGAUACCCUAGUAGUC